ACAAGCUUUAGCUUUCAAGGUAACAAAGAGACUACUGUACUUCCACCACCUGAAGGUCCUUGCUCAAAGCAACAAAAGAAAACUGACAGUAAGGAGUUGGAACAUAACCCAGAACCACCGCCAUUCUCCAAAAUCAUAUUGGAACAUGUUUUAUUGAUUUUAAUAUGUUGACUUAACAACAUAAGUAAAAGAAACAUUAUUUGGAUUGUAUCCAACUUUAAAAAUUCAACUGGCAUCUGCUGCAUGACUCUGGCCCUUAUCUUCUGUGCACUCUAAAAGAUAUCCUACACACAAGCUUGUCUUUAAACGAGGUCAAGAGUAGGGAAAAACACCUCUGAAGGAACUCUGCCAUUGGUGGCUUCAACCUGGUCUUUUCUCUUCAGUGUACUCCAGACUCCCAAACGUCUAAUAUCUGAGGCAGUUGUGGCCAUCUGACAAAAUUCUGGGCAAGAAAAUACUGGAGAAGUAAUGUAUGCAACUUCUACGCCAUGCCUUUGACGGAGAAGGAGCAGGCCCUUGCCUAGAUCCCUUUCCCAUCUCUCCACAGGCUAGAAUACAGACAUGACGCUGAUGGCUGGAACUUUUAUGUGAGAAUAUGAAAUGAAAGCCACAUGCUGAUGACGGGCAGAACAAUAAAGCAGUAGAAGCCUGGGUCCCAAUACCCUCAGCCUCCAAACCAGCCCCAGACUAUCUACCCAGGCUUUUACUUGAGGAUGAAAUACAUUUCUACUUCAUUAAAGCCAAUUCGUUUUUUA